rnacentral:rRNA from 1 species
UAGCGGCGGACGGGUGAGUAACACGUGGGUAACCUACCUAUAAGACUGGAAUAACUCCGGGAAACCGGGGCUAAUGCCGGAUAACAUGUUGGACCGCAUGGUCCUACAGUGAAAGACGGUCUUGCUGUCACUUAUAGAUGGACCCGCGCCGUAUUAGCUAGUUGGUAAGGUAACGGCUUACCAAGGCAACGAUACGUAGCCGACCUGAGAGGGUGAUCGGCCACACUGGAACUGAGACACGGUCCAG